UACGUAGGGUGCAAGCGUUGUCCGGAAUUAUUGGGCGUAAAGAGCUCGUAGGCGGUCUGUCGCGUCGGCUGUGAAAACUCGGGGCUCAACUCCGAGCUUGCAGUCGAUACGGGCAGGCUAGAGUUCGGCAGGGGAGACUGGAAUUCCUGGUGUAGCGGUGAAAUGCGCAGAUAUCAGGAGGAACACCGGUGGCGAAGGCGGGUCUCUGGGCAAUAACUGACGCUGAGGAGCGAAAGCGUGGGGAGCGAACAGG
rnacentral:rRNA from 1 species